rnacentral:rRNA from 1 species
GAGAGUUUGAUCCUGGCUCAGAUUGAACGCUGGCGGCAUGCCUUACACAUGCAAGUCGAACGGCAGCAUGAUCUAGCUUGCUAGAUUGAUGGCGAGUGGCGAACGGGUGAGUAAUACAUCGGAACGUGCCCUGUAGUGGGGGAUAACUAGUCGAAAGAUUAGCUAAUACCGCAUACGACCUGAGGGUGAAAGUGGGGGACCGCAAGGCCUCAUGCUAUAGGAGCGGCCGAUGUCUGAUUAGCUAGUUGGUGAGGUAAAGGCUCACCAAGGCGACGAUCAGUAGCUGGUCUGAGAGGACGAUCAGCCACACUGGGACUGAGACACGGCCCAGACUCCUACGGGAGGCAGCAGUGGGGAAUUUUGGACAAUGGGGGCAACCCUGAUCCAGCAAUGCCGCGUGUGUGAAGAAGGCCUUCGGGUUGUAAAGCACUUUUGUCCGGAAAGAAAUCGCACUUACUAAUAUUAGGUGUGGAUGACGGUACCGGAAGAAUAAGGACCGG